GUACUCGAGCGGCGAACGGGUGAGUAACACGUGAGCAACCUGCCCCAAGCUUUGGGAUAACCCUCGGAAACGGGGGCUAAUACCGAAUAUUACUUCUGGCCGCAUGGCUGGUGGUGGAAAGUUUUUCGGCUUGGGAUGGGCUCGCGGCCUAUCAGCUUGUUGGUGGGGUGAUGGCCUACCAAGGCGACGACGGGUAGCCGGCCUGAGAGGGCGACCGGCCACACUGGGACUGAGACACGGCCCAGACUCCUACGGGAGGCAGCAGUGGGGAAUAUUGCACAAUGGGCGGAAGCCUGAUGCAGCGACGCCGCGUGAGGGAUGACGGCCUUCGGGUUGUAAACCUCUUUCAGCAGGGACGAAGCGAGAGUGACGGUACCUGCAGAAGAAGCACCGGCCAACUACGUGCCAGCAGCCGCGGUAAGACGUAGGGUGCGAGCGUUGUCCGGAUUUAUUGGGCGUAAAGAGCUCGUAGGCGGCUUGUCGCGUCGACCGUGAAAACUUGGGGCUCAACUCCAAGCCUGCGGUCGAUACGGGCAGGCUAGAGUUCGGUAGGGGAGACUGGAAUUCCUGGUGUAGCGGUGAAAUGCGCAGAUAUCAGGAGGAACACCGGUGGCGAAGGCGGGUCUCUGGGCCGAUACUGACGCUGAGGAGCGAAAGCGUGGGGAGCGAACAGGAUUAGAUA
rnacentral:rRNA from 1 species